rnacentral:rRNA from 1 species
GUCUUUUAAUUGAAGUCUGGAAUGAAUGGUUUGAUGAAAAAUUUACUUUCUUUAUUUUAAAUAAAUAAUUUGAUUUUUUAAUUAAAAAGUUGAAAUUUUAAUAUAGGACGAGAAGACCCUAUAGAACUUUAUUUUAAUUAAAAAAAUAUAAUUUUGGUAAUGAAUUUUUGUUUUUUUAAAAAAAUUUUGUUGGGGUGAUGGAAAAAAUUUUUUAACUUUUUUUUAUGUUAUCAUUAAUAUAUGAUUUUUUUGAUCCUUUAUUAUGGAAAAUAAGAUUAAGUUACCUUAGGGAUAACAGCGUUAUUAUUUCAGAGAGUUCAUAUCGAUAAAAUAGUUUGCGACCUCGAUGUUGGAUUAAAAUAAGUUUCAGGAGUAGAAAAUUGAAUACUAGGUCUGUUCGACCUUUAAAUUUUUACA